rnacentral:rRNA from 1 species
GCAUAUCAAUAAGCGGAGGAAAAGAAACUAACAAAGGAUUCCCCUAGUAACUGCGAGUGAAGCGGGAAAAAGCUCAAAUUUAAAAUCUGGCAGUCUUUGGCUGUCCGAGUUGUAAUCUGGAGAAGCGUUUUCCGCGCUGGACCGUGUACAAGUCUCUUGGAACAGAGCGUCAUAGAGGGUGAGAAUCCCGUCUUUGACACGGACUACCAGUGCUUUGUGAUGCGCUUUCAAAGAGUCGAGUUGUUUGGGAAUGCAGCUCAAAAUGGGUGGUAAAUUCCAUCUAAAGCUAAAUAUUGGCGAGAGACCGAUAGCGAACAAGUACCGUGAGGGAAAGAUGAAAAGCACUUUGGAAAGAGAGUUAAACAGUACGUGAAAUUGCUGAAAGGGAAACGCUUGAAGUCAGUCGCGUCGUCUAGAACUCAACCUGGCUUUUGCUUGGUGCACUUUCUAGUUGACGGGCCAACAUCAGUUUUGACUGCUGGAAAAAUUCCAUCGGAAUGUGGCACCUUCGGGUGUGUUAUAGCCUUUGGUUGUAUACAGUGGUUGGGACUGAGGACCGCAGCACGCCUUAUGGCCGGGGUUCGCCCACGUACGUGCUUAGGAUGUUGGCGUAAUGGCUUUAAGCGACCCGUCUUGAAACACGGACCAAGGAGUCUAACAUGCCUGCGAGUGUUUGGGUGGAAAACCCGAGCGCGUAAUGAAAGUGAAAGUUGGGAUCCCUGUCAUGGGGAGCACCGACGCCCAUACCAGACCUUCUGUGACGGAUAUGCGGUUGAGCAUGUAUGUUGGGACCCGAAAGAUGGUGAACUAUGCCUGAAUAGGGUGAAGCCAGAGGAAACUCUGGUGGAAGCUCGUAGCGAUUCUGACGUGCAAAUCGAUCGUCAAAUUUGGGUAUAGGGGGCGAAAGACUAAUCGAACCAUCUAGUAGCUGGUUCCUGCCGAAGUUUCCCCUUCA